ACAUCUCUACACAAUCAACGAGCCCGAUCGAUCGAGAUGUUCUCGCUUUUCAUGAAGCCGACUGACUAAACUGGAAUCAUGACGUGCAAAUGUUGAUUAUUGAUUUAAAGACUAUUAUGACAAAGGCUGAAGUGUGGUGGUGUGUAUACUGUGUAGUUAGACCUAGCGGCGCACGCGCCCUACAUGCAUAAUGUGCGGUGUUACGGCGCGUUACGUGCGCGCGCGCCGUUAUGCAAGCCGCGCGGAACCGGCGGCGGCGCGGCGUGAGAAGCCGCACAACACCUGUAAUACACGUUGGCCAACUUACGGGAACAGAUACAGCAAGCGGAAAAACUCAUGGGACUUAGAAUCUAGAAUUUUGUCAACAACUGUGCCUGAACAAUCUACCUACUGAUUCCACGUUUUAAUAAAGAGAAAAUAUAUAUCCAUCAUUGUAAUGUGAACUCUCUUUAGAAACAGCCAUACAACUGUCGAAGUGAAGAUAGGGAGUGGUCGCAACAAUAACACCGAGAAGAAUCAAUAUCAAUCAGAAUCAAUCAACACCCGGAAGCCGUUGGAGCGACUGAUUGUCCGUUUUGAUCAGUGGUGUGGAGAACAUAUACCUAUCGUAGCUAAAAUCUAUAUGGACUGACUAAAUGGCGCCAGUAAUUUCGACAGUCAUUGCUACACGAGUAUAAAUAACAAUUAUUGCAUUUCGCUUUUAUCUAAUUCGUAUUUGAUAAUCAAUAUUUAGAUAAAGUGAUAAAUUCUGUAAAAUUUACAAUUGUAAGAUACUGGAACCUAAACUAAGAAUGUCAAUAUCUACACUGUUACAUUGCCAGAUAUUGGCACUUGUUGUUUAGCAACA